rnacentral:rRNA from 1 species
GUAGGUGGCAAGCGUUGUCCGGAAUUAUUGGGCGUAAAGCGCGCGCAGGCGGUUCUUUAAGUCUGAUGUGAAAGCCCACGGCUCAACCGUGGAGGGUCAUUGGAAACUGGAGAACUUGAGUACAGAAGAGGAAAGCGGAAUUCCACGUGUAGCGGUGAAAUGCGUAGAGAUGUGGAGGAACACCAGUGGCGAAGGCGGCUUUCUGGUCUGUAACUGACGCUGAGGCGCAAAAGCGUGGGGAGCAAACAGGAUUAGAUACCCUGGUAGUCCACGCCGUAAACGAUGAGUGCUAAGCGUUAGGGGGUUUCCGCCCCCCUUAGUGCUGCAGCUAACGCAUUAAGCACUCCGCCUGGGAGUACGGCCGCAAGGCUG